GGUUGGUCCAAUGGUAGUAGGUUAUCAGAACUUAUUAACAUUCAGUGUCACUUAAGUUGGUAUACAACCCCCCACUACUAAAUUUCAAUGGCUUACU
ensembl:Y_RNA Y_RNA Y RNA